GACGAACGCUGGCGGCGUGCCUAAUACAUGCAAGUAGAACGCAGUUGCGAACGGGUGAGUAACGCGUAGGUAACCUGCCUUAUAGCGGGGAAUAACUAUUGGAAACGAUAGCUAAUACCUCAUAUUGUGAGUUUGACCUGCGUUGUAAUAGCUAGUUGGUGAGGUAAAGGGUCACCAAGGCGACGAUACAUAGCCCACCUGAGAGGGUGAUCGGCCAAACUGGGACUGAGACACGGCCCAGACUCCUACGGGAGGCAGCAGUAGGGAAUCUUCGGCAAUGGACGGAAGUCUGACCGAGCAACGCCGCGUGAGUGAAGAAGGUUUUCGGAUCGUAAAGCUCUGUUGUUAGAGAAGCGGUUACUAACCAGAAAGGGCCGGCUAACUACGUGCCAGCAGCCGCGUUAAAC
rnacentral:rRNA from 1 species